GACGAACGCUGGCGGCGUGCCUAAUACAUGCAAGUAGAACGCACAGUUUAUACCGUAGCUUGCUACACCAUAGACUGUGAGUUGCGAACGGGUGAGUAACGCGUAGGUAACCUGCCUGGUAGCGGGGGAUAACUAUUGGAAACGAUAGCUAAUACCGCAUAAUAUUGAUUAUUGCAUGAUAAUUGAUUGAAAGAUGCUAUUGCAUCACUACCAGAUGGACCUGCGUUGUAUUAGCUAGUAGGUGAAGUAACGGCUCACCUAGGCGACGAUACAUAGCCGACCUGAGAGGGUGAUCGGCCACACUGGGACUGAGACACGGCCCAGACUCCUACGGGAGGCAGCAGUAGGGAAUCUUCGGCAAUGGACGAAAGUCUGACCGAGCAACGCCGCGUGAGUGAAGAAGGUUUUCGGAUCGUAAAGCUCGGUUGUAAGAGAAGAACGGGUGUGAGAGUGGAAAGUUCACACUGUGACGGUAUCUUACCAGAAAGGGACGGCUAACUACGUG
rnacentral:rRNA from 1 species